rnacentral:rRNA from 1 species
GAUGAGCGCUGGCGGUGUGCCUAAUACAUGCAAGUCGAGCGAACGGACGAGAAGCUUGCUUCUCUGAUGUUAGCGGCGGUCGGGUGCGUAUCACGUGGAUAACCUACCUAUAAGACUGGGAUAACUUCGGGACACCGGAGCUAAUACCGGAUAAUAUUUUGAACCGCAUGGUUCAAAAUAGAAAGACGUUUUUGCUGUUACUUAUAGAUGGAUCCGCGCUUCAUUAGCUAGUUGGUAAGGUAACGUCUUACCAAGGCAACGAUGCAUAGCCGAACUGAGAGGGUGAUCGGCCACACGGGAAAUAGAACACGGUCCAGACUCCGAAGGGAGGCAGCAGUAGGGAAUCUUCCGCAAUGGGCGAAAGCCUGACGGAGCAACGCCGCGUGGGUGAUGAAGGUCUUCGGAUCUUAAAACUCUGUUAUUAGGGAAGAACAUAUGUGUAAGUAACUGUGCAAAACUUGACGGUACCUAAUCAGAAAGCCACGGCUAACUACGUG